AACGGAUGUAGAAACUUUGAGAA
rnacentral:siRNA from 1 species